rnacentral:rRNA from 1 species
GGUUAAGCGACUAAGCGUACACGGUGGAUGCCCUGGCAGUCAGAGGCGAUGAAGGACGUGCUAAUCUGCGAUAAGCGUCGGUAAGGUGAUAUGAACCGUUAUAACCGGCGAUUUCCGAAUGGGGAAACCCAGUGUGAUUCGUCACACUAUCAUUAACUGAAUCCAUAGGUUAAUGAGGCGAACCGGGGGAACUGAAACAUCUAAGUACCCCGAGGAAAAGAAAUCAACCGAGAUUCCCCCAGUAGCGGCGAGCGAACGGGGAGCAGCCCAGAGCCUGAAUCAGUGUGUGUGUUAGUGGAAGCGUCUGGAAAGGCGCGCGAUACAGGGUGAUAGCCCCGUACACAAAAAUGCACAUGCUGUGAGCUCGAUGAGUAGGGCGGGACACGUGGUAUCCUGUCUGAAUAUGGGGGGACCAUCCUCCAAGGCUAAAUACUCCUGACUGACCGAUAGUGAACCAGUACCGUGAGGGAAAGGCGAAAAGAACCCCGGCGAGGGGAGUGAAAAAGAACCUGAAACCGUGUACGUACAAGCAGUGGGAGCACGCUUAGGCGUGUGACUGCGUACCUUUUGUAUAAUGGGUCAGCGACUUAUAUUCUGUAGCAAGGUUAACCGAAUAGGGGAGCCGAAGGGAAACCGAGUCUUAACUGGGCGUUAAGUUGCAGGGUAUAGACCCGAAACCCGGUGAUCUAGCCAUGGGCAGGUUGAAGGUUGGGUAACACUAACUGGAGGACCGAACCGACUAAUGUUGAAAAAUUAGCGGAUGACUUGUGGCUGGGGGUGAAAGGCCAAUCAAACCGGGAGAUAGCUGGUUCUCCCCGAAAGCUAUUUAGGUAGCGCCUCGUGAAUUCAUCUCCGGGGGUAGAGCGCUGUUUCGGCAAGGGGGUCAUCCCGACUUACCAACCCGAUGCAAACUGCGAAUACCGGAGAAUGUUAUCACGGGAGACACACGGCGGGUGCUAACGUCCGUCGUGAAGAGGGAAACAACCCAGACCGCCAGCUAAGGUCCCAAAGUCAUGGUUAAGUGGGAAACGAUGUGGGAAGGCCCAGACAGCCAGGAUGUUGGCUUAGAAGCAGCCAUCAUUUAAAGAAAGCGUAAUAGCUCACUGGUCGAGUCGGCCUGCGCGGAAGAUGUAACGGGGCUAAACCAUGCACCGAAGCUGCGGCAGCGACGCUUAUGCGUUGUUGGGUAGGGGAGCGUUCUGUAAGCCUGCGAAGGUGUGCUGUGAGGCAUGCUGGAGGUAUCAGAAGUGCGAAUGCUGACAUAAGUAACGAUAAAGCGGGUGAAAAGCCCGCUCGCCGGAAGACCAAGGGUUCCUGUCCAACGUUAAUCGGGGCAGGGUGAGUCGACCCCUAAGGCGAGGCCGAAAGGCGUAGUCGAUGGGAAACAGGUUAAUAUUCCUGUACUUGGUGUUACUGCGAAGGGGGGACGGAGAAGGCUAUGUUGGCCGGGCGACGGUUGUCCCGGUUUAAGCGUGUAGGCUGGUUUUCCAGGCAAAUCCGGAAAACUAAGGCUGAGGCGUGAUGACGAGGCACUACGGUGCUGAAGCAACAAAUGCCCUGCUUCCAGGAAAAGCCUCUAAGCAUCAGGUAACAUCAAAUCGUACCCCAAACCGACACAGGUGGUCAGGUAGAGAAUACCAAGGCGCUUGAGAGAACUCGGGUGAAGGAACUAGGCAAAAUGGUGCCGUAACUUCGGGAGAAGGCACGCUGAUAUGUAGGUGAAGUCCCUCGCGGAUGGAGCUGAAAUCAGUCGAAGAUACCAGCUGGCUGCAACUGUUUAUUAAAAACACAGCACUGUGCAAACACGAAAGUGGACGUAUACGGUGUGACGCCUGCCCGGUGCCGGAAGGUUAAUUGAUGGGGUCAGCGCAAGCGAAGCUCUUGAUCGAAGCCCCGGUAAACGGCGGCCGUAACUAUAACGGUCCUAAGGUAGCGAAAUUCCUUGUCGGGUAAGUUCCGACCUGCACGAAUGGCGUAAUGAUGGCCAGGCUGUCUCCACCCGAGACUCAGUGAAAUUGAACUCGCUGUGAAGAUGCAGUGUACCCGCGGCAAGACGGAAAGACCCCGUGAACCUUUACUAUAGCUUGACACUGAACAUUGAGCCUUGAUGUGUAGGAUAGGUGGGAGGCUUUGAAGUGUGGACGCCAGUCUGCAUGGAGCCGACCUUGAAAUACCACCCUUUAAUGUUUGAUGUUCUAACGUGGACCCGUGAUCCGGGUUGCGGACAGUGUCUGGUGGGUAGUUUGACUGGGGCGGUCUCCUCCUAAAGAGUAACGGAGGAGCACGAAGGUUGGCUAAUCCUGGUCGGACAUCAGGAGGUUAGUGCAAUGGCAUAAGCCAGCUUGACUGCGAGCGUGACGGCGCGAGCAGGUGCGAAAGCAGGUCAUAGUGAUCCGGUGGUUCUGAAUGGAAGGGCCAUCGCUCAACGGAUAAAAGGUACUCCGGGGAUAACAGGCUGAUACCGCCCAAGAGUUCAUAUCGACGGCGGUGUUUGGCACCUCGAUGUCGGCUCAUCACAUCCUGGGGCUGAAGUAGGUCCCAAGGGUAUGGCUGUUCGCCAUUUAAAGUGGUACGCGAGCUGGGUUUAGAACGUCGUGAGACAGUUCGGUCCCUAUCUGCCGUGGGCGCUGGAGAACUGAGGGGGGCUGCUCCUAGUACGAGAGGACCGGAGUGGACGCAUCACUGGUGUUCGGGUUGUCAUGCCAAUGGCACUGCCCGGUAGCUAAAUGCGGAAGAGAUAAGUGCUGAAAGCAUCUAAGCACGAAACUUGCCCCGAGAUGAGUUCUCCCUGACUCCUUGAGAGUCCUGAAGGAACGUUGAAGACGACGACGUUGAUAGGCCGGGUGUGUAAGCGCAGCGAUGCGUUGAGCUAACCGGUACUAAUGAACCGUGAGGCUUAACCUU